CAUGUGGAUACAAACCACAAACUGAUAAGGUUGGUUUCUAAUUUGGUUUCAAAAUUGCACAUUACCAAAACUGAUAAAUAAAUAAAUGUAUAUAUAUUUUUAAUGUGUUUUCUUUCAAUUAGAUACAACCUUGUCAUUUUUGGGGGCAUUGAUGGUUUUUCCAGAAAGAUCAUGUACUUGGAUGCAGUGAACAAUAACAAGACAUCAACUGGCUUCACCUUUUUUUAUAGACUCUGUUCAGAGGAAUGAACUGCCUUCAAGGAUUGAGAGGCUCUGGCGUGAUGUGUGGACAGCAGUGACUGUCACAUAUUACGAUGUCCUGCAUAGUCUUGAAGAAGACGGCCUGCUGGACAUCUCAAACACACCACACAUCUUCCUUGUCCACUUUGUGUUUUUACCCCGUCUCCGCAAAGACUUGCAGACAUUUGCUGAGGGCUGGAAUCAUCAGCCCCUACACACUGAAGGAAAUAUGAGCCCCAGCAGUUGUGGGAGGUGGGACGUUUACGGCACAGCAUUCAUGAACCUGAGAAUGUAGAGAUAGGAAUGAUUUUCAUUUCUCUUAUUUAUGACACAGCACAGAGAGUGUGCAAAUGGGAUAUUUUAAAUGAUUUUAUCUUAUGAAUUCCUAGGAUGUAGAGGACUAUGACAUAGACUGGGAGAGUGUUUAUUAUUUAACCCAAGAAGAAUCAUUAACAGAAUGUGGAGCUGUGGUCCCUGAACUCUCUCCCCCCUAAAUGAGCAAGAAAUGCGACACCUCCAAGCCUCUGUUGAUCCUACAGCUACAUCAUACUCACAUGGUCGAGACAUCUACGUUCAGUGCCUUAAUAUUUUGCAUUGAGAAACAGUAAUUUGAACACGAAAUGUUAAUUAAUAUAUUCCUGGCCAAGAAAUAAUAGUUAAGACAAGCUUGUGUUGUUAUAUUCUGAGAAAUUCCUGGCCAAGACAAAAGACCUCCAACAUCACCAUUUUGAAGUCUUCAUAGUGUAACAUGUGUUUAACUGGUAGGAUAAUGGUAUUGCUACAUGCUGCUACAGUUGGGUAACAGAUCCUGUGCUCACUAUAUUUGACAUCACAGUUCUGGUUGAACUGCACUGUGAUUUUGAAUCGUUUCUUCUCCUGAGACAGAAUGGGAACGUGUCUCUGCCCUGUGACCCACUGAAGGAAGGUCUUCGGACACAUGAAGGAUGAGAAGCUGCCUCUAUACCAG